rnacentral:rRNA from 1 species
UAAGGAAUAUUGCUCAAUGGGAGAAAUCCUGAAGCAGCAACGCCGCGUGGAGGAUGAAGGGUCUAUGACUUGUAAACUCCUGUAAAGAAGGAAAAAAUUCCCAUUUGAUGGGAGAUGAUGGUACUUCUGGAGUAAGCCCCGGCUAACUACGUGCCAGCAGCCGCGGUAAUACGUAGGGGGCAAGCGUUGUCCGGAUUUACUGGGUGUAAAGGGUGCUCAGGCGGAUUUGUAAGUCAGAGGUGAAAUCUUACAGCUUAACUGUGAAACUGCCUUUGAUACUGCAAGCCUAGAGUAUGGAAGAGAGUGAUAGAAUAUCUGGUGUAGCAGUGAAAUGCGUAGAUAUCAGAUAGAACACCAAUGGCGAAGGCAGUCACUUGGUCCAUUACUGACGCUAAAGCACGAAAGCGUGGGUAGCAAACA